rnacentral:ncRNA from 2 species
GAAUAGCUCAUGCUUGUGAUCAAAUGAUGGUGAAGCACUUAAGCUUCAUUGUAAAUACCAUAACCAAUUCCCUAUGAAAAGGUAAUUGUGGCCUAGAAUCACUCAUCCUGUCAUCCAUCCUCAUGCAUCAAACUGGUUAAGUGCUUCACCAUCAUUUGAUCACAAGCAUGAGCUAUUCA